GACCCGUCUUGAAACACGGACCAAGGAGUUUAGCGUGUGCGCGAGUCAUUGGGCGUUGAAAACCCAAAGGCGUAAUGAAAGUGAAUGGAUCCCUUGCGGACCUGAUGUGUGAUCCCGGACACUGCGGUGUGCUGGGCGCAACAUAGUCCCGUCCCGAUUGCUUGCAAUGGGGCGGAGACAGAGCGUACGCGCUGAGACCCGAAAGAUGGUGAACUAUUCCUGAGCAGGAUGAAGCCAGAGGAAACUCUGGUGGAAGUCCGAAGCGAUUCUGACGUGCAAAUCGAUCGUCUGACUUGGGUAUAGGGGCGAAAGACUAAUCGAACCAUCUAGUAGCUGGUUCCCUCCGAAGUUUCCCCCAGGAUAGCUGGAGCUCGGAGCAGUUAUACUCGGUAAAGCGAAUGAUUAGAGGACUUGGGGACGAAAUGUUCUUAACCUAUUCUCAAACUCUAAAUGGGUAUGAUGCCAGGGUUGCUUGAACACAUGUGAACCCAGGCGUUGAAUGCGUGAGCUCCAAGUGGGCCAUUUUUGGUAAGCAGAACUGGCGAUGUGGGAUGAACCAAACGCGGAGUUAAGGUGCCAAAGUGCCCGCUCAUUAGACCCCAUAAAAGGUGUUGGUUGAUAUAGACAGCAGGACGGUGGCCAUGGAAGUCGGAAUCCGCUAAGGAGUGUGU
rnacentral:rRNA from 1 species